rnacentral:tmRNA from 1 species
GGGGGCGAUUUGGGUUCGACGGAGGUGACGACGCAGAAGCUGCAUGCCGAGUCGCUGUGCCCUCGUAAAAAGGCGCAGGACGCAGAAUUAACUGCGGACGCUGAAUACGCUCUCGCGGCCUAAUAGCGUCGCGACGUCCUUCCUAGGUUCUCCCGCGGCCUAGGAAAGGGCGACGACCAGCGGGAUAGGAGAGGAUGCUUGCCACCGGCGUCCGAUCCGAAACCCAAGGUGGCUGGCCCGGCGGCAUCCCGCGCGCGGGAGGUCCGGCGGGCGAGAGAAAAACGCGCGCUAAGCAUGUAGACGCUUCUGCCGAGCGCCUGCGGACGGGGGUUCGAUUCCCCCCGCCUCCACCA